rnacentral:rRNA from 1 species
CCUACGGGAGGCAGCAGUGGGGAAUUUUGGACAAUGGGCGCAAGCCUGAUCCAGCAAUGCCGCGUGAGUGAAGAAGGCCUUCGGGUUGUAAAGCUCUUUUGUCAGGGAAGAAACGGGUGGAGCUAAUAUCUCUGCCUAAUGACGGUACCUGAAGAAUAAGCACCGGCUAACUACGUGCCAGCAGCCGCGGUAAUACGUAGGGUGCAAGCGUUAAUCGGAAUUACUGGGCGUAAAGCGUGCGCAGGCGGUUUUGAAGUCUGUCGUGAAAUCCCCGGGCUCAACCUGGGAAUUGCGAUGGAGACUGCAAGGCUAGAAUCUGGCAGAGGGGGGUAGAAUUCCACGUGUAGCAGUGAAAUGCGUAGAGAUGUGGAGGAACACCGAUGGCGAAGGCAGCCCCCUGGGUCAAGAUUGACGCUCAUGCACGAAAGCGUGGGGAGCAAACAGGAUUAGAUACCCUGGUAGUCCACGGCCCUAAACGAUGUCUACUAGUUGUCGGGUCUUAAUUGACUUGGUAACGCAGCUAACGCGUGAAGUGACCGCCUGGGGAAUCGGUCGCAAGAUUAAAACCGNAAAGAUGACGNGNGAGAGNGCGAGACGACGACGAGGAGGAGG